GUCUCCACAGAAGCAGUCUGUGUUCCCUGUGGGUGUGCAGCUUGAAUGCUUCUCUGUGUCCUGCUCUGAGCUCUGCUGUUGUGUGCUGUGAGGGGACCUCAGGGAAAUGCUGAAAUCAAGACAUGGAUGCAGUGACUUUUGAUGAUGUGCAUGUGAA